rnacentral:rRNA from 1 species
UACGAGGGGGGGCGAGCGUUGUUCGGAAUUAUUGGGCGUAAAGGGUGCGUAGGCGGUUUGGUAAGUCUUGUGUGAAAUCUUCGGGCUCAACUCGAAGUCUGCACGAGAAACUGCCGGGCUUGAGUAUGGGAGAGGUGAGUGGAAUUCCCGGUGUAGAGGUGAAAUUCGUAGAUAUCGGGAGGAACACCAGUGGCGAAGGCGGGUCUCUGGGCCGAUACUGACGCUGAGGAGCGAAAGCGUGGGGAGCGAACAGG